GAUGAACGCUGGCGGCGUGCCUAAUACAUGCAAGUCGAGCGAACAGACGAGGAGCUUGCUCCUCUGACGUUAGCGGCGGACGGGUGAGUAACACGUGGAUACCCUCCCUAUAAGACUGGGAUAACUUCGGGAAACCGGAGCUAAUACCGGAUAAUAUAUUGAACCGCAUGGUUCAAUAGUGAAAGACGGUUUUGCUGUCACUUCUAGAUGGAUCCGCGCCGCAUUAGCUAGUUGGUAAGGUAACGGGUUACCAAGGCGACGAUGCGUAGCCGAGCUGAGAGGGUGAUCGGCGACACUGGAACUGAGACACGGUCCAGACUCCUACGGGAGGCAGCAGUAGGGAAUCGUCCGCAAUGGGCGAAAGCCUGACGGAGCAACGCCGCGUGAGUGAUGAAGGUCUUCGGAUCGUAAAACUCUGUUAUUAGGGAAGAACAAAUGUGUAAGUAACUAUGCACGUCUUGACGGUACCUAAUCAGAAAGCCACGGCUAACUACGUG
rnacentral:rRNA from 1 species